rnacentral:tRNA from 1 species
GGGCGAUUAUGCUCAGUUGGGAGAGUACUUCCCUUACAAGGAAGGGGUACUGGUUCGAGACCAGUAUGGUCCA